rnacentral:rRNA from 1 species
AACGCGAAGAACCUUACCUGGGCUCGAAGUGCUACGGACCAGCCUAUGAAAGUAGGCCUUCCCUUAAAAGACCGUAGUAUAGGUGCUGCAUGGCUGUCGUCAGCUCGUGUCGUGAGAUGUUGGGUUAAGUCCCGCAACGAGCGCAACCCUUGUCCUGUGUUGCCAUACCGAAAGGUGGAACUCGCAGGAGACCGCCAGGGAUAACCUGGAGGAAGGUGGGGAUGACGUCAAGUCCUCAUGGCCUUUAUGUCCAGGGCUACACACGUGCUACAAUGGACGGUACAAAGGGCUGCCAACCCGCGAGGGGGAGCCAAUCCCAAAAAACCGUUCUCAGUUCGGAUUGCAGGCUGCAACUCGCCUGCAUGAAGCUGGAAUCGCUAGUAAUGGCGGAUCAGAACGCCGCCGUGAAUACGUUCCCGGGCCUUGUA